rnacentral:rRNA from 1 species
UCAGGAUGAACGCUGGCGCGUGCUUAACACAUGCAAGUCGAACGAUGAAGCUGGAGCUUGCUCUGGUGGAUUAGUGGCGAACGGGUGAGUAACACGUGAGUAACCUGCCCUUGACUCUGGAAUAAGCGUUGGAAACGACGUCUAAUACCGGAUACGAGCUUCCGCCGCAUGGUGAGGAGCUGGAAAGAAUUUCGGUCAAGGAUGGACUCGCGGCCUAUCAGGUAGUUGGUGAGGUAAUGGCUCACCAAGCCUACGACGGGUAGCCGGCCUGAGAGGGUGACCGGCCACACUGGAACUGAGACACGGUCCAGACUCUACGGGAGGCAGCAGUGGGGAAUAUUGCACAAUGGGCGCAAGCCUGAUGCAGCAACGCCGCGUGAGGGACGACGGCUUCGGGUUGUAAACCUCUUUUAGUAGGGAAGAAGCGAAAGUGACGGUACCUGCAGAAAAAGCACCGGCUAACUACGUGCCAGCAGCCGCGGUAAUACGUAGGGUGCAAGCGUUAUCCGGAAUUAUUGGGCGUAAAGAGCUCGUAGGCGGUUUGUCGCGUCUGCUGUGAAAACUGGGGGCUCAACCCCCAGCCUGCAGUGGGUACGGCAGACUAGAGUGCGGUAGGGGAGAUUGGAAUUCCUGGUGUAGCGGUGGAAUGCGCAGAUAUCAGGAGGAACACCGAUGCGAAGGCAGAUCUCUGGCCGU